rnacentral:lncRNA from 1 species
AGUCUUCAAUAAAUAUCAGUUGAAUGAAUUAACUGAGUAAACAUUUACUGAGUGCUGAGUAGGUGGCAACCAGUGCUGGACACUGAAAGAAUGUAUGAUAGAGUAAGAUGCAGGCCUGGAGGAGAAGAGUUUGAAGGUUCCUUGUGGGAGGCCAACCUUACGGGUGACUGAGUUACACUCCCCGGCUGGGUGCUGAGGUGCUCAGUCACAGAAAUGGGUGUGUCUUGCUACAGCCCCAUGGGUGAAGCUAUGCUCACCUGUUCCUUUGUAAUAUAACCACUUGCCCUGUUUAGGAUAGAAUCUUCCAUGGAAGUGCCUUGUGUGUGUCCCCUCCUCUUACUGUGCCCUUGGGUGUGGCCUACCCAGGUGUCAGUCAACCUGCUGACAGUGGACAUCAUGAAGAUACUCAGCCCCCUGAAACCUGACCCCUUGCCUCUUUUGAAUAGCUUCUCCUCAAUAAAAGGGGUCAGUGCAUGCUCUCGCUCUCUCUCUUUCUGCGGACCCUUAAGGUCAGAGGAGC